CUGAUAACAGGUCCACCUGGUUAGCCAAAACGCGUUUCACCGAAAAAACGGCUUCCUCAGUCAGCUCCUGAUGGUGUCAUGGGUUGAGUCCCCUUUUAAAUGUUCGAAAUUCCCGCCUAAAAUUUCCUCUCCUCGUUUGUAUUAGUUGCGUCUGGUGUCCUCAGAAUGGCGUCACGUCAUUUCCGCCCGUCUGUACUACAGGUUCCAUCAUGCUUUGUGUUGAUUGACGUCACUUCCGGUUUUCGCGGGCAAAAUGCUGUCGCGUCACUUCCGGUUUCGGGUACUACAUGUCCCAUGGUGCAAUGGCACCUCGAUCUCAUUUAAUUGAAGUAACACCUAUUUCUUUGUAGUCCAUUUCCUCCACAACCAUACUCAGGGCAUAUCAAAAGAUAAAUAUAUCAGUAGCAUAGUAACAAAAUACAAGAAAGGAGAAAGGACAAUGAUAACAAUGUACAUAUAACAACAAAUGUCUCCAUACAACAAUCAAUAUUAUUUAGCAAUGUAUCAAAGAGGGCCUUUGUGUUAAUCUGAUAUUUAAAAUGCAUAUCGACCAAAAACAGUAAAACACUCCCAAGCGUCAUGUAUCUGAUGGAUAUGGUGCUGGAGAGAAAGAAAACAGCAGCUAUAAGAAAAGGCUAAUCUCUCUCUAAUUUAUGUUUUCAUCUUUCAAGUAAAUCCAUAACCCCUAACAGCAGUGUCCAGUCAAGCAGGAAGUCAAUGGGCAUGGUAAAAGGGUGUGCUACUGACACAAAUCAUAAAUGCAUCUAAUGAUGCGCUCGCUCAACGUUUUCUAAGGACUGUCCCCUAGCACUCGCUGGUCCACUUGCCUCCUUACCUUCUUACUAGCAGGCAGAAGCUCCUGGUAUAUAGUCUGGGACAGAGAAAAGCUGUAUGUAGUGAGUGUAGAAGAAAGGGAACAUGCCACAGUGUUAGAGGGACCAAAGUCAGCAUUACUUUAAAGGAUCACUAUAGGGUCAGGAACACAAACAUGAAUUCAUGACCCUAUAGUGUUAACACCACCAUCUAGUCCCCCUGGGCCCC